ACACCCUCCGUGUGGCAGUUGGGCUGCGCCUGGGGGUUCCAAUCUGUGCACCGCAUAAAUGCCACUGUGGGAGUGAUGUGGACCAGCUGGGGCGUCAUGGUCUGUCUUGCCAGCGAAGCGCGGGGCGAUUGUCACGUCACGCCGCGCUCAAUGACAUUAUCCGUCGGUCUCUUGUCACCGUCAACGUGCCAGCGAUACUCGAGCCGACCGGUAUGGCCCGGGACGAUGGCAAGAGACCGGAUGGUAUUGUGGGACGCGACCUGUGUGGACACACUGGCACCGUCUCACCUUCACGGUAC